UUCUUUCAAGUUUUAUUGAAAGUUGGGCCUGCCCACUGAUUUAUGAAGGGCCGCGGUAUACUGACCGUGCUAAGGUAGCAUAAUCAUUAGUCCUCUAAUUAGGGAAUAGAAUGAAUGGCUUAACUAACUGUUGUUUUAUUAUUUAUUUUUCUUUGAGUUUUUGAAGUAAGUGAAAACCCUUACUUUCCUGAAAAAGACGAUAAGACCCUUUAGAUCUUUAUUUAAUUUUUUUUUAUAAAAUUUUGGUUGUGACUUUAUAGAUAAUUUUAAUUUUUGUUGGGGCAACAAAAGAAUAAGUGAAACUUCUUUACUUGUGUUUAUUUUUAUUUAAUCCUUUUUAAAGCUUAGAAAAAGUUACCUAAGGGAUAACAGCGUUAUACUUUUAGAGAGUUCACAUCGAUACAAGUGUUUGCGACCUCGAUGUUGAAUUAAGAUUUCUACUUAGGGGCAGCUUUUUAGUCAGAGGGUCUGUUCGACCUUUAAAUUCUU
rnacentral:rRNA from 1 species